GGCAUGAUGACAUGAACCACCUGAUGAGGAC
rnacentral:piRNA from 1 species